GCUAUGUUGAAACACCAUUUCCCGUACGAUCACCGAAGUUAAGCAACGUCGAACUUGGUCAGUAUCUAGAUGGUUGAACGACUGGGAAUACCAGGUGCUGUAAG